GCCUCUAUAGUUCAAUGGAUAGAACGAAAGUUUCCUAAACUUUAAAUCCGGGUUCAACUCCCGGUGGAGGUA
rnacentral:tRNA from 2 species